rnacentral:rRNA from 1 species
UACGUAGGGUGCAAGCGUUGUCCGGAAUUAUUGGGCGUAAAGAGCUCGUAGGCGGUUUGUCGCGUCUGCUGUGAAAACGCGAGGCUCAACCUCGCGCCCGCAGUGGGUACGGGCAGACUAGAGUGUGGUAGGGGAGAUUGGAAUUCCUGGUGUAGCGGUGGAAUGCGCAGAUAUCAGGAGGAACACCGAUGGCGAAGGCAGAUCUCUGGGCCAUUACUGACGCUGAGGAGCGAAAGCGUGGGGAGCGAACAGG